UACGGAGGGGGCUAGCGUUGUUCGGAUUUACUGGGCGUAAAGGGCGCGUAGGCGGCCAGCACAAGUCAGUUGUGAAAUCUCCGGGCUUAACUCGGAAAGGUCAACUGAUACUGUGCGGCUAGAGUGCAGAAGGGGCAACUGGAAUUCUCGGUGUAGCGGUGAAAUGCGUAGAUAUCGAGAGGAACACCUGCGGCGAAGGCGGGUUGCUGGGCUGACACUGACGCUGAUGCGCGAAAGCGUGGGGAGCGAACAGG
rnacentral:rRNA from 1 species